rnacentral:tRNA from 1 species
UGGUCUAGUGGUUAGAACGCUGGCCUUGUAAUCCUGGGGUCCCGGGUUCGAUUCCCGG